GACGAACGCUGGCGGCGUGCUUAACACAUGCAAGUCGAACGGAAAGGCCCUGCUUUUGUGGGGUGCUCGAGUGGCGAACGGGUGAGUAACACGUGAGUAACCUGCCCUUGACUUUGGGAUAACUUCAGGAAACUGGGGCUAAUACCGGAUAGGAGCUCCUGCUGCAUGGUGGGGGUUGGUAAGUUUCGGCGGUUGGGGAUGGACUCGCGGCUUAUCAGCUUGUUGGUGGGGUAGUGGCUUACCAAGGCUUUGACGGGUAGCCGGCCUGAGAGGGUGACCGGCCACAUUGGGACUGAGAUACGGCCCAGACUCCUACGGGAGGCAGCAGUGGGGAAUAUUGCACAGUGGGCGGAAGCCUGAUGCGGCAACGCCGCGUGCGGGAUGACGGCCUUCGGGUUGUAAACCGCUUUCGCCUGUGACGAAGCGUGAGUGACGGUAAUGGGUAAAGAAGCACCGGCUAACUACGUG
rnacentral:rRNA from 1 species